GUAUUCUAAGGCGCUUGAGAGAACUCUGGAGAAGGAACUCGGCAAAUUGACACCGUAACUUCGGAAGAAGGUGUGCCUUUAGUAGGUGAACCAUUUACUUGGGGAGCCCAAUGAGGCCGCAGAGAAUCGGUGGCUGCAACUGUUUAUUAAAAACACAGCACUCUGCAAAGACGAAAGUCGACGUAUAGGGUGUGACUCCUGCCCGGUGCUGGAAGAUUAAAUGAUGGGGUGCAAGCUCUUGACUGAAGUCCCAGUAAACGGCGGCCGUAACAAUAACGGUCCUAAGGUAGCGAAAUUCCUUGUCGGGUAAGUUCCGACCUGCACGAAUGGAGUAAUGAUGGCCACACUGUCUCCUCCAGAGACUCAGCGAAGUUGAAAUGUUUGUGAUGAUGCAAUCUCCCCGCGGAAAGACGGAAAGACCCCAUGAACCUUUACUGUAGCUUUACAUUGGACUUUGAACAGAUCUGUGUAGGAUAGGUGGGAGGCUUUGAAACCAGGACGCUAGUUUUGGUGGAGCCAACGUUGAAAUACCACCCUGGUGUGUUUGAGGUUCUAACCUUGGCCCGUUAUCCGGGCCGGGGACAGUGUAUGGUGGGCAGUUUGACUGGGGCGGUCUCCUCCCAAAGUGUAACGGAGGAGUUCGAAGGUACGCUAAAUACGGUCGGAAAUCGUGUUGAUAGUGCAUUGGCAUAAGCGUGCUUGACUGCGAGACUGACAAGUCGAGCAGGUACGAAAGUAGGACAAAGUGAUCCGGUGGUUCUGUAUGGAAGGGCCAUCGCUCAACGGAUAAAAGGUACUCUGGGGAUAACAGGCUGAUACCGCCCAAGAGUUCAUAUCGACGGCGGUGUUUGGCACCUCGAUGUCGGCUCAUCUCAUCCUGGGGCUGUAGCCGGUCCCAAGGGUAUGGCUGUUCGCCAUUUAAAGAGGUACGUGAGCUGGGUUUAAAACGUCGUGAGACAGUUUGGUCCCUAUCUUCCGUGGGCGCUGCAAGAUUGAGAGAGCCUGCUCCUAGUACGAGAGGACCGGAGUGGACGCACCUCUGGUGUAUCGGUUGUCACGCCAGUGGCAUUGCCGAGUAGCUAAGUGCGGAAGAGAUAACCGCUGAAAGCAUCUAAGCGGGAAACUCGUCUCAAGAUGAGUCUUGCCGGGGCCUUGAGCCCCCUGAAGAGUCGUUCGAGACCAGGACGUUGAUAGGCUGGGUGUGGAAGCGCAGUAAUGCGUUAAGCUAACCAGUACUAAUUGCUCGUGAGGCUUGACCCG
rnacentral:rRNA from 1 species